rnacentral:tRNA from 6 species
GGUCGCGUAGCUCAGCUGGAUAGAGCAUCUGCCUUCUAAGCAGACGGUCGCAGGUUCGAAUCCUGCCGCGAUCA